UUGAUUGGGGUUUGAUGGAAGGAUGGUUGCUAGACUUAGGGUUUCUAUUCAGGUAGUCAGGAUUAUAAUCCUUCCGAUGCCUAACAAGUUGUAUGCAUGAUAUUAUAGAGCUCAACACUUAUAAACAAACCAUUAGGCUUUCGCUUUCUAGGUUUGUCUAUUGACCAGUGUCGAUCGAUUAUUCUAUAGGAAUAUCGAUCGAUUAUUCUAUAGGAAUAUCGAUCGAUUAUUCUAUAGUAAUAUCGAUCGAUAUACUUGAUGAAACGUCGACCGAUUAUUCGAUUGAAAUAUCGAUUGACGCCUUGGUCAAGCGUUAAUGCGCGGAUUGAAUAUGCUCACUAAGCUUCCUAGAUCAGCUCUCGCCUACUCUAGCAAUCUUAGCUCAAUUAGGAUGGAUUCAGGGUGAGAUG
rnacentral:lncRNA from 1 species